GAGAGGGAGACAGAGAAUCUGAAGCAGGCCCCUGGCUGUGAGCUGUCAGCACAGAGCCCGACGUGGGGCUCCAACUCAUGAACCAUGAGAUUGUGACCUGAGCCAAAUUCGGACGCUCAACCGACUGAGCCACCCAGGCACCGCUAUAUGUUUCUCAUUUAUAUGCUUCUACUAAGUCCCAGCCAUGGCGCCUUGCACUCGACAUGUGUCAUCCUCCAAACAACCCAGAAAGUUAGCCAUGGCACAUGGCACAUGGCCAUGGCAUGAAAGAGGGCAGAAGAAUCAGGUGUUACAUGCAUAGCCUCUGGAGUUCAAGUGCCUAGACUCAAACCCACUCACCUCCAUCACUAGGACUUUCUACGGUAGCAGAAAGGGAGUGAAUCCAGAAUCCAGAUUAAUGUGGAGACACCGCUCUGGGAAACUCAGCUUCCAAACCCACUCUACCACUUACUAGUAAGGCAACUCUGAAGACUUAUUUAACCCUUCUAAGAUAGUCCCCCCAUUAUUAAAUGGGGGAUUAUUAAAUGAUGGCUUAAUAAUAAUAAUUUUACAUAG